AGUCUAUUUUUUCAAUAAAAAGAUGCUAUUUAGAGCUACAAAUAAAAAUAAGAGAAUUACAAGAUUAACCAUUGUAUAUAUGUAGCAUUUAUCUAAGCAACUUUCUAUGAAAUUAAAUUACAAAAACUACAUAGACACCUCUAGAUUUUCUUAGUUCCAUCAAUCUAGAGCUUCAUAUUAUCAGACUCUAUAGAUACCUAAGAUGUAAUCCGGCUCUUUUUUUCUUCAACAAUAAAAUUAUUACAAAAAUUCUUUAGCUUAAAAUAAUUUAGCUCAGAUCUUUUAUUUCAAAAAUUCAAUAAGAAAAAACCAAAACCACUUUUAAUACAUACAAACCAUGAUUUUGACCUUAGGCAUAAAACUAAAAAUUUAAAGAAAAUAUAGCACAAAGCUC
rnacentral:lncRNA from 1 species